rnacentral:rRNA from 1 species
AGCGAACGCUGGCGGCAGGCCUAACACAUGCAAGUCGAACGGACCCUUCGGGGUUAGUGGCGGACGGGUGAGUAACACGUGGGAACGUGCCUUUAGGUUCGGAAUAGCUCCUGGAAACGGGUGGUAAUGCCGAAUGUGCCCUUCGGGGGAAAGAUUUAUCGCCUUUAGAGCGGCCCGCGUCUGAUUAGCUAGUUGGUGAGGUAAUGGCUCACCAAGGCGACGAUCAGUAGCUGGUCUGAGAGGAUGACCAGCCACACUGGGACUGAGACACGGCCCAGACUCCUACGGGAGGCAGCAGUGGGGAACCUUGCGCAAUGGGCGAAAGCCUGACGCAGCCAUGCCGCGUGAAUGAUGAAGGUCUUAGGAUUGUAAAAUUCUUUCACCGGGGACGAUAAUGACGGUACCCGGAGAAGAAGCCCCGGCUAACUUCGUGCCAGCAGCCGCGGUAACAC